GAUGAACGCUGGCGGCGUGCCUAAUACAUGCAAGUCGAGCGAACGGACGAGAAGCUUGCUUCUCUGAUGUUAGCGGCGGACGGGUGAGUAACACGUGGAUAACCUACCUAUAAGACUGGGAUAACUUCGGGAAACCGUAGCUAAUACCGGAUAAUAUUUUGAACCGCAUGGUUCAAAAGUGAAAGACGGUCUUGCUGUCACUUAUAGAUGGAUCCGCGCUGCAUUAGCUAGUUGGUAAGGUAACGGCUUACCAAGGCAACGAUGCAUAGCCGACCUGAGAGGGUGAUCGGCCACACUGGAACUGAGACACGGUCCAGACUCCUACGGGAGGCAGCAGUAGGGAAUCUUCCGCAAUGGGCGAAAGCCUGACGGAGCAACGCCGCGUGAGUGAUGAAGGUCUUCGGAUCGUAAAACUCUGUUAUUAGGGAAGAACAUAUGUGUAAGUAACUGUGCACAUCUUGACGGUACCUAAUCAGAAAGCCACGGCUAACUACGUGCCAGCAGCCGCGGUAAUACGUAGGUGGCAAGCGUUAUCCGGAAUUAUUGGGCGUAAAGCGCGCGUAGGCGGUUUUUUAAGUCUGAUGUGAAAGCCCACGGCUCAACCGUGGAGGGUCAUUGGAAACUGGAAAACUUGAGUGCAGAAGAGGAAAGUGGAAUUCCAUGUGUAGCGGUGAAAUGCGCAGAGAUAUGGAGGAACACCAGUGGCGAAGGCGACUUUCUGGUCUGUAACUGACGCUGAUGUGCGAAAGCGUGGGGAUCAAACAGGAUUAGAUACCCUGGUAGUCCACGCCGUAAACGAUGAGUGCUAAGUGUUAGGGGGUUUCCGCCCCUUAGUGCUGCAGCUAACGCAUUAAGCACUCCGCCUGGGGAGUACGACCGCAAGGUUGAAACUCAAAGGAAUUGACGGGGACCCGCACAAGCGGUGGAGCAUGUGGUUUAAUUCGAAGCAACGCGAAGAACCUUACCAAAUCUUGACAUCCUUUGACAACUCUAGAGAUAGAGCUUUCCCCUUCGGGGGACAAAGUGACAGGUGGUGCAUGGUUGUCGUCAGCUCGUGUCGUGAGAUGUUGGGUUAAGUCCCGCAACGAGCGCAACCCUUAAGCUUAGUUGCCAUCAUUAAGUUGGGCACUCUAAGUUGACUGCCGGUGACAAACCGGAGGAAGGUGGGGAUGACGUCAAAUCAUCAUGCCCCUUAUGAUUUGGGCUACACACGUGCUACAAUGGACAAUACAAAGGGCAGCGAAACCGUGAGGUCAAGCAAAUCCCAUAAAGUUGUUCUCAGUUCGGAUUGUAGUCUGCAACUCGACUACAUGAAGCUGGAAUCGCUAGUAAUCGUAGAUCAGCAUGCUACGGUGAAUACGUUCCCGGGUCU
rnacentral:rRNA from 1 species